CCUACGGGUGACUGCAGUAGGGAAUCUUCCACAAUGGGCGAAAGCCUGAUGGAGCAACACCGCGUGAGUGAUGAAGGGUUUCGGCUCGUAAAGCUCUGUUGUUGGAGAAGAAUGUGCGUGAGAGUAACUGUUCACGCAGUGCUGGCUUCCUACCAGCAGGUGCCGGCUAACUACGUGUCAGCAGCCGCGGUAAUACGAAGGUGGCAAGCGUUAUCCGGAGUUAUUGGGCGUAGAGCGAGCGCAGGCGGGUACUUAGGACUGAUGUGAAAGUUUUCGGCUUAACCGAAGAAGUGCAGCGGAAACCGGGCAACUUGAGUGCAGAAGAGGACAGUGGAACUCCAUGUGUAGCGGUGGAAUGCGUAGAUAUAUGGAGGAACACCAGUGGCGAAGGCGGCUGUCUGGUCUGCAACUGACGCUGAGGCACGAAAGUGUGGGGAGAAAACAGGAUUAGAUACCCCAGUAGUC
rnacentral:rRNA from 1 species